rnacentral:tRNA from 1 species
GGGAAGCUGGCUCAGUGGUAGAGUGCUUGUCUUGCAUGCAUGAGGCCCUGGGUUCAAUUCCUCAGCACCACA